GAAUAUUGGUCAAUGGGCGAGAGCCUGAACCAGCCAUGCCGCGUGCAGGAAGACGGCCCUAUGGGUUGUAAACUGCUUUUAUACGGGAAGAACCACUCCGACGUGUCGGAGCUUGACGGUACCGUAUGAAUAAGGACCGGCCAACCUUGUGCCGGCAGCCGCGGUAAUACGGAGGGUCCAAGCGUUAUCCGGAAUCAUUGGGUUUAAAGGGUCCGUAGGCGGAAUAAUAAGUCAGUGGUGAAAGUCUGCAGCUCAACUGUAGAAUUGCCAUUGAUACUGUUGUUCUUGAAUUAUUAUGAAGUGGUUGGAAUGAGUAGUGUAGCGGUGAAAUGCAUAGAUAUUACUCAGAACACCUAUUGCGAAGGCAGAUCACUAAUAAUAUAUUGACGCUGAGGGACGAAAGCGUAGGUAGCGAACAGG
rnacentral:rRNA from 1 species